AUGCAAUACUGUAUCAGGGUAUCUUUCUUGUCUUUUUUUAAAUUUCGCCUUGAUUUCCUGCACGUGUGCCUAAUUUAUCCAGGACAAAAAUUGCUGCCAUUUAGAUUUGUGCCCCUAGCAUUCCACCUCAUGAUGAGCCAUCUACAUGGCAGAGCCUUAACAGAGAAGCAGAAUGUCCUGCAUGUUUUUAGCAAGCACUUCAAGUCUACAGAUAAAACCUGUAGCCCAACAAACAGAUCCACUCCACACUGCUGCUCUUCAAGCCAUACCAAGAACACAGAAGCACAAAACAGCCAGACGAACAAGACUAAACGGCUGAAAACACGCAAGGAGAGGAGCCAGGUAAGCAGAGGCGGAUCUAAUAGCAGAUCCCACCAUCACCAAAGCAGCAAAGAGAAAGACCACUGUCAUGGUUGCUGCCAAAGUAGCUCUCGCCCUCCUCCACGGAGAGAUGCCCCAUUAGCCCGCGUCUUCCCCGCUGGGCAAGAGCCCAGCAUCAUCACAAACAACCGUCUCAUCGGCCACCAUGGCCUGUUCAACCAUGAGGUGAAGUCCAUCGACAUCGAGCGCCUGCUGAGUGAGCAGAGGAAGUUGGAGAAGCUUGGGCAGCGCGGGGGGCGAGGCAAAACCACUGCUACUCUUCCUCCCCUUCCACCCUCAUCUUCCCUUCCUUUCUCCUCUCCUGGGCCUGAUUCUGAUGUGGGUGAAGUUGCUGUUCCUGACAAUGUUGAGGAGGAUCCAGAUAAAGGGAGAGUAGAAAGAGUAGUAGCAAAGAGUAGUACUAAGGCCAACAAGCGUGAUGAGUAUAGGUCUAAUUCAGAAAGCAGACUUUUUAAGUGUUCUCAUGGGGAUACACAAGAGGAUUUCAGAAGAAAAUUCACAUCUAUUCAGGUUUCUCUGGAGAAGAAUGUAGCCAGUCACUCUAACAGCCAGGAGUCUGGUAUCACACCAGGACAGACGCAUCACAGCGGUCUGACAUCAUCAGAGGGCGGCAUAGUUACCCUAUUAUCCACAGAGAGUCCCUCACGUGUGGUACGAAACAAGAGCAAGGGGCCCAGGUCUGUAGUCUGUGAAACACUGUUGUCACCCAGUGGAAAGAAUGAAAAUGAGAGACCACCUGACACAAGGGCUGAGGUUAAGCCUGUUGUCCUUACCUUGGAACAGACCCCCAAAAACCAUGGACCUAUUCUCCCACACACACAGCCAUUCAGGCCCAGUCCAAACAUCACAGUGUCUUCCUUCCCAGCAAGAGGUGGAAGCAGUGAGAGCUCAGACAAUCAGAUGCAGCAAACUGUCACCAACCCUGUCAGUGUGGUAGCUGCGCGUCUGUGCAGGUCUCUGCAGCUGCCGCUGCUCCGCAGGAGACACCUGGUGGCGGAAAGUAGGGAGGUGCUGCUGCAGGCCCUACGGGAGAGGCACGGGCUCCAGCUGCAGGAGAACCUACUCAACGUGCAGCGACGUCUCAGCUUCAGUACAGGACCCACCACAACCAGGGCCGGCCUGGGGCAGAGCACAAUCCUGGCCGGCGUAGAUGCAUAUGGAAGCUGGCCUGCAGCUCCAUUGGAUGGUGGUUUUGAAGACAGCAUGGUGGAACAUCCGUGCCUGGACUCCCAGAGGUCAGCCCCCAGCAAGAGGAGGAGGAAGCAGCUAUGCCCCAACAGAAUGACCCCUCAGCCCCUCAUUGGGUCGCAAAACAGCCUGGACACGGCUGCUGCAUGGAACCCCAACCCCAGUGUGGAGCAGGUUGGGGAACUGAUCGGAGAACUACUUAGGCCCGCUUCCUCCUCGCACUUCCUCAUGGACCUCCAGCCCUCUGGUUCCCCCUCUCGCCACCAUGUCUUUGCCCCCCCUCCUGCCUCACCUUGGGCAGCUCAAUCCGGUCCGCCUCAGCCCUGGGAUGACGUAUUCGACAGGGGAAGCAUGAGAGAGUCAACCAGGGUGGAUCACUUUGAGAACUGGAGGUAUGACCCAGAUUUGAGUUUUCUAAACCAGACAGAAACAGUGAGAGAGAGGAUCAGUGGGCCUUUCUAUCAUGAGAAGAGUAUGCAGUGUUUCCUACAGUAUCCCACAGGGCCACCAGAGGGACACAGAGACAGACACUUGCCACAGCAGCAAGAUCCAUAUGACAUUGAAAGAAGCCAUUUUGGUGGUUCUUCCUCAUCCUUUUCUGCUCUUACCCACUAUCCGCUAGACAGUCAUCAGCUCCACCCUUUCUAUCGCUUCAACCGCCGCCCCCCAACCAGCCCUGUAAUCUCCAGGUCCCACCUUCCUGACAUGGCCUACUAUCCCCCCUCCCACAUGCUGGAGAGUGGCCUGUCCCCUCCUCUGCCCCCUGGGUCCCUACCUGCUUUCCCCAGCCCUGAAUGCUGGUCUUUCCCCCGGAUGAGACUGUACUGAUCCUUUGUGUAGUAGAGACAUGCAUAAGCACAAUGCUAUGUUGUUGAGUAUUUUCCAAAUGCAUGCCAUCAAGUCUAAUUGUUUACAAUUACAACUGACUUGAUUUAUUAAUUUAUUGUUAUUGAAUACCAUCAUAUGAUGGGCAGGAAGGCAAAGUGCCAUCCAGGAAAUGUUGUUUGUAUAUUUACAAAUAUAAGUUAAAUGUGUGAGAAAACAUUACUAUUUUUAAAAUGUGUUCUUUCAUACAUUUCACAUUCUCUAAAACUACUUACAGCCUGUACGGUAAAAACACAAUUAUGCUGUAGAAAGGUAACAGCAGCAAAAUGUAUUUUUUAUUGCAUGAUUACUUCUAAUUGAAACAUGUGCAUGCAAAAACAUACAGAAACACUGUAAGAGAAAAUGCAUUGCAGAACUUAUGCAGUAUGUUGUCAACUAUGGCAGUACAAAAUAUCCAAGAAUGUGGCCCUUGUUUUUUUUUUGGGCCAAUGGGCCUACUUAAACUAUACUUUAUUAUUUUUGACAAGCAGAAUGCUUUAGCACAGAUUAUCAAAGACAUGAAUCAGCACGAAUGCAUUAUGCAGAGGAUUGUCUGCUGUCCAUGGGUAGAUCCCAAUUGCAUAUUCCUCGCCUUGUCUCCUUCUCAAAACCCAUUGGUUUUGAGAAGGAGCGAGGACACGAAGAGUAUACAAUUCUCCCCCGGUAAGAUGGACUGAAUAAAAUGAACCUGUGAGUAAAAUACUGUACAUAGUCACACACUGUAUCUUAUAUUAAAAUCUAAUAAUAGAUCAUUAAUUUACUUGUUUUAGUUUGUGUACUACUGAUUGAGACGGUGAUAUUUUACAACAAGAAGUAUACUUAUAUAAUAUUUAAAUUCACUUUGCAACAUGAUUUGUCAAGGUACGUCUGAUCAUCUUGUUUCCAUUUUGCAUCUUUUAAAUGCACAUACAGUAUUACAAUAUUAUUAAGUACUGAUCACAACAGGAUUGAGUUUGUUUUUUCCAUGAGAGCAAAUUACAAAAGCAAACAAAUGAUGGCUUUAGCUUAUAGCAGUCAAUCAAAGCAUAAACAAUGCUGGAUUUCAAGAAAGUAGAACAUCAAAUAAAAUGUUAUUUCUCACAUGCGCCGAAUACAACAGGUGUGCAUAAUUUCAGUACUUUUACUACAUUGAACUUUGUUUAAUGUCCUGGAAACAGGCUGCUGCCAGGGCAAAGCGUGUCCUUUAACCUUACUGUGAAAUGUUUAUUUACAAGCCCUUAACCAACAAUGCAGUUUUAAGAAAAAAAUAAGUGAUAAGUAAAACAUUUAAAAUAAAAGUAACAAAUAAUUAAAGAGCAGCAGUAAAAUAACAAUAGCGAGGCUAUAUACAGAGGGUACCGGACAGUCAUGACACGGAGGGCACAUUGAGACAGUGAUAUUUACCAACAAGAUGUAUACUUAAAGAGUAUUAAA
rnacentral:lncRNA from 1 species